AUUGGCCCCUGUAUCCAGGAAAUGCCGAGCACCAGGCAUAUCAUCUGUCAGUGGGGUCAUUCGCACUGGAGAGCCACCACUUGAGGGGAAAGGAGUUUGGGUUCUGCAAUUUGUUCAGAAACUGUUAGGCGAUAAGUUGUGCACACAACAUAAUGUGGAAAUCCGACUUACCACCCAGCUAUGAAGAAUCCAGGAAUCACCAGUACAGCCAUCAACAUGGCAUGUACCCUCAGCCUCCCGGAUAUGGGUACCCUGCCUACGGAGUUCCACCUCAGCCAGCAAUGCCCUAUCCCAGCCAGCCAGGCACCCAGCCACACACUGGGAUGAGACAGGGGCCUGGCUUUCCAGCAUCCGGCUUUCCAUCCAUUAUUCCCACAUUUUUGUCUUCGCCAAUUCCCAACAACAGUCCAAACAUGGGAGAGACUGACGUCUUUGCCUCGGCUGGCGUUUGGGAAAGUCGAUCAGUUCGUCAUGCAUUCAUACGGAAAGUCUACUUGAUUUUAGCAGCUCAGCUGAUUGUCACCGUCUCUAUUGUGGCAGUAUUUGUUUUUGUUCAUCCUGUUCGUCUGUUUGUGGUCCAAAAUCCAGGCGUGUAUUGGGCGUCAAUUGUUCUUUACCUUGUGACCUACCUGGUUCUGGUAUGCUGUGAGGGGCCUAGGAGACGCUUCCCAUUGAAUUUGGUCCUCCUCGCUGUUUUUACACUUGCCAUGUCUUACAUGACAGGAACAAUAUCAAGUUACUAUGACACCAAGGCAGUGUUUCUGGCUCUCAUAAUAACUGCUGUCGUGUGCGUCAUUGUCACCAUCUUCUGUUUUCAGACCAAGGUAGAUUUCACCUCUUGCACUGGCCUCUUCUUUGUGCUUGCCAUGGUUGUACUGGUCACAGGAAUCAUCACAGCUAUCGUGCUCUCAUUCCAAUAUGUGCCCUGGCUUCACAUGCUCUAUGCAGCGAUUGGAGCCAUUGUCUACACACUGUUCUUGGCGUACGACACCCAGUUGCUCAUAGGAAACCGAUCAUAUGCCAUCAGCCCAGAGGAGUAUAUCUUUGGAGCGCUGUCGCUCUAUGUUGACAUUGUCCAGAUCUUUACCUUUCUUUUACAACUCACUGGGUCCUCGUCAGAUUAGGCGGAUGAACCCAUCUCCAAGAAAGAGAAAAAAAAGUGUUUUAAAUUACCUCAUGAGUUGGUGCACACAAUGAUAGACAUUUUAAUAGGCUGAAUGCCUGAAAACAAGAUCAAAUACAUCUGUACUACCAAUUAAGGUGAAACUGCUUUACGCAUAAUUAUAAUUCAAUCAUUUAUGUACCAACAAAUCUCACUGAGCCAUUUUAGAAUAUCAAUGUAUUAAACAACAAUGAUGGCUUUUUAAACUUGUUACUGUUACAUACCAAAGGCAUACAGCUAUACAUUUCAUCACUUAAGGAUACAAUGAAGUAUUCCUUAAAUAAUCUAAAGGGUACCAACAAAUGCAGCCACAAGUGUACAUUGUGGUCAUCCAACCGUCCGCAUACAACACUGUACAUCCCUAAUUAUGAAAUAUUUUAUGUCAUCUCAAGACGAAGAUGACAGA